AUUGAACGCUGGCGGCAGGCCUAACACAUGCAAGUCGAACGAGUGGCGGACGGGUGAGUAAUGUCUGGGAAACUGCCUGAUGGCGGGGGAUAACUACUGGAAACGGUAGCUAAUACCGCAUACCAUCGGAUGUGCCCAGAUGGGAUUAGCUAGUUGGUGGGGUAACGGCUCACCUAGGCGACGAUCCCUAGCUGGUCUGAGAGGAUGACCAGCCACACUGGAACUGAGACACGGUCCAGACUCCUACGGGAGGCAGCAGUGGGGAAUAUUGCACAAUGGGCGAAAGCCUGAUGCAGCCAUGCCGCGUGUAUGAAGAAGGCCUUCGGGUUGUAAAGUACUUUCAGCGGGGAGGCGGUACCCGCAGAAGAAGCACCGGCUAACUCCGUGCCAGCAGCCGCGGUAAUUC
rnacentral:rRNA from 1 species